GACGAACGCUGGCGGCGUGCUUAACACAUGCAAGUCGAACGGAAAGGCCCUGCUUUUGUGGGGUGCUCGAGUGGCGAACGGGUGAGUAACACGUGAGUAACCUGCCCUUGACUUUGGGAUAACUUCAGGAAACUGGGGCUAAUACCGGAUAGGAGCUCCUGUUGCAUGGUGGGGGUUGGAAAGUUUCGGCGGUUGGGGAUGGACUCGCGGCUUAUCAGCUUGUUGGUGGGGUAGUGGCUUACCAAGGCUUUGACGGGUAGACGGCCUGAGAGGGUGACCGGCCACAUUGGGACUGAGAGACGGCCCAGACUCCUACGGGAGGCAGCAGUGGGGAAUAUUGCACAAUGGGCGGAAGCCUGAUGCAGCAACGCCGCGUGCGGGAUGACGGCCUUCGGGUUGUAAACCGCUUUCGCCUGUGACGAAGCGUGAGUGACGGUAAUGGGUAAAGAAGCAACGGCUAACUACGUG
rnacentral:rRNA from 1 species